rnacentral:rRNA from 1 species
UGGGGAAUAUUGGACAAUGGGCGAAAGCCUGAUCCAGCCAUGCCGCGUGUGUGAAGAAGGUCUUCGGAUUGUAAAGCCCUUUAAGUUGGGAGGAAGGGCAGUAAGCGAAUACCUUGCUGUUUUGACGUUACCGACAGAAUAAGCACCGGCUAACUCUGUGCCAGCAGCCGCGGUAAUACAGAGGGUGCAAGCGUUAAUCGGAAUUACUGGGCGUAAAGCGCGCGUAGGUGGUUCGUUAAGUUGAAUGUGAAAGCCCCGGGCUCAACCUGGGAACUGCAUCCAAAGCUGGCGAGCUAGAGUAGGGCAGAGAGUGGUGGAAUUUCCUGUGUAGCGGUGAAAUGCGUAGAUAUAGGAAGGAACACCAGUGGCGAAGGCGACCACCUGGGCUCAUACUGACUCUGAGGUGCGAAAGCGUGGGGAGCAAACAGG